UACGUAGGCAGCAAGCGUUGUUCGGAAUUACUGGGCGUAAAGAGUGUGUAGGCGGUGCUCUAAGUCUGUUGUGAAAUCUCCCGGCUUAACUGGGAGGGUGCAGCGGAAACUGGAAUGCUCGAGUAUGGGAGAGGUAAGCGGAAUUCCUGGUGUAGCGGUGAAAUGCGUAGAUAUCAGGAGGAACACCUGUGGUGUAGACAGCUUACUGGACCAUCGCUGACGCUGAGACACGAAAGCGUGGGUAGCAAACAGG
rnacentral:rRNA from 1 species